UACGAAGGGGGCUAGCGUUGUUCGGAGUUACUGGGCGUAAAGGGCGCGUAGGCGGCGCACCAAGUCAGGCGUGAAAGCCCUGGGCUCAACCCGGGAAUUGCGCUUGAGACUGGUGUGCUCGAGUACGGGAGAGGAUAGUGGAAUUCCCAGUGUAGAGGUGAAAUUCGUAGAUAUUGGGAAGAACACCGGUGGCGAAGGCGGCUCACUGGCUCGUAACUGACGCUCAUGCACGACAGCGUGGGGAUCAAACAGG
rnacentral:rRNA from 1 species